ACCAGCAUGGCUGAGUGGUUAAGGCGUUGGGCUUAAGAUCCACUGGGCAAAUGUCCUCAUGGGUUCAAAAACCAUUCCUGGUA
rnacentral:tRNA from 1 species